AUUGAACGCUGGCGGCAUGCCUUACACAUGCAAGUCGAACGGUAACAGGUUAAGCUGACGAGUGGCGAACGGGUGAGUAAUAUAUCGGAACGUGCCCAGUCGUGGGGGAUAACUGCUCGAAAGAGCAGCUAAUACCGCAUACGACCUGAGGGUGAAAGCGGGGGAUCGCAAGACCUCGCGCGAUUGGAGCGGCCGAUAUCAGAUUAGGUAGUUGGUGGGGAAAAGCCCACCAAGCCAACGAUCUGUAGCUGGUCUGAGAGGACGACCAGCCACACUGGGACUGAGACACGGCCCAGACUCCUACGGGAGGCAGCAGUGGGGAAUUUUGGACAAUGGGCGCAAGCCUGAUCCAGCCAUGCCGCGUGCGGGAAGAAGGCCUGGU
rnacentral:rRNA from 1 species